ensembl:lncRNA
GGAAAAACUGCCUAAGAAAAUUUUUAAAAUUUGUAUUUGUUUAUUGUAAUUAUAAAUUUGAAAGACAAUGACCACAAUCCAGAAUGUGAACAUGAACAUACUUGAAAAUUCAACACCACAACCCACCUACCCUCCCUCUCCCACUCCGUUAACCCUGCGGUCUCUUUACAAUAGGGCUCACACUUGGCAAACCCCCCCCCACAAAAAUAUUAUGAUACAUGAAUCUCAGAAGUACACAUAGAAGACUUGUUUUAACUCCAGAAGCAGAGCCUGUUCUCUUCUGGACAGGAUUGUAAGUUAAAAUAAAAUCCUACCAUAUUAACUUGUAUUUGGUCUCUGAGUUGAUCAUCUUGAUUCACUACUUGUUUUUUUUUUUUUUCAGUCAUAGUGGUGUGGCUGUUCCUCAGUAUGUCACAAUCAUGUGAUACAAGUGCCAUGCUCUAGAGUUCGAAGGUCAAAUACUUCAAGUAACUGCUAACAGCCUCUGGUAUCAUCUGCCAUUCAACACUCAACAAAGCACACAUAAAUACCAAUUUACUGUAAGUUUCUCUGAAAGUAUUUACAUUCAAAUAGUAAUACUACAGUGCUGUAUGUAUUGUGUAGCCUGUAGUGCUACUGAACAUAAGCAAUUAGAGGUUGUCUGGGGAAAUAGAGAAUGAUUUCAAAAACUAGAAUUUAUAUCAGUGAACUCUCAUUUUUAAAUAUAAAAUCACCUAACUACUAGACCACUAGUUUCCCUAUCCAUACCUGCACAAUUCUCUGAAAACGUUUGGUGGUAGCAUCAUAUACAUAACACUUAUCAUGUGACUGUGUCAGUUGCAUGGUCAAGGAAGUCUUCCUCAACAAACCUACUGAGCCUGCUACUUUAGCUGAAUUUCUAACACAAUAAAACAUACUCCCUGUGUGUUUUUUUCAUCAUCCAAACUGUGGUCUUUCCUGUGUGAUCGAAUGGGCCAUGCUGCAAGACUUGUACUUGUGCAGCCUUUGUCUGAAUCCUCAGGAAGACAAACAUGGGCACCAAUCAUAUGCUCGCUGCCUUGACAAUGACCAUGUUAAAGAUGCAGUAUCUGGUUCAGACAUCCCC